rnacentral:rRNA from 1 species
AACCGGCGCACGGGUGCGUAACGCGUAUACAAUCUGCCUUUCACAUAGGGAUAGCCCGAAGAAAUUUGGAUUAAUACCUAAUGGUAUAUAAGAGCGGCAUCGUUUUUAUAUUAAAGCUACGGUGGUGAAAGAUGAGUAUGCGUUCUAUUAGCUAGUUGGAGAGGUAACGGCUCCCCAAGGCGACGAUAGAUAGGGGUUCUGAGAGGGAUGUCCCCCACACUGGUACUGAGAUACGGACCAGACUCCUACGGGAGGCAGCAGUGAGGAAUAUUGGACAAUGGUCGGAAGACUGAUCCAGCCAUGCCGCGUGCAGGAUGAAGGUCCUAUGGAUUGUAAACUGCUUUUGUAAGGGAAGAAUAAGGAGUACGUGUACUUUGAUGACGGUACCUUACGAAUAAGCAUCGGCUAACUCCGUGCCAGCAGCCGCGGUAAUACGGAGGAUGCGAGCGUUAUCCGGAAUCAUUGGGUUUAAAGGGUCCGUAGGCGGGCUGAUAAGUCAGAGGUGAAAGCGCUUAGCUCAACUAAGCAACUGCCUUUGAAACUGUCAGUCUUGAAUGAUUGUGAAGUAGUUGGAAUGUGUAGUGUAGCGGUGAAAUGCUUAGAUAUUACACAGAACACCGAUAGCGAAGGCAUAUUACUAACAAUUUAUUGACGCUGAUGGACGAAAGCGUGGGGAGCGAACAGGAUUAGAUACCCUGGUAGUCCACGCUGUAAACGAUGGAUACUAGCUGUUUGGAGCAAUCUGAGUGGCUAAGCGAAAGUGAUAAGUAUCCCCCCUGGGGGAGU